GUUACUACAGGAUAACACUACAAAUCGAGAGGCAGCAUGGUCUUGCUUGCUAAGUCCGAUGGCGACCGGCGCACGGGUGAGUAACACGUAUACAACCUACCGUCUACUCUUGGACAGCAUUUGAAAGGAAGAUUAAUACAAGAUGGCAUCAUGAGUCCGCAUGUUCACAUGAUUAAAGGUAUUCUGGUAGACGAUGGGGAUGCGUUCCAUUAGAUAGUAGGCGGGGUAACGGCCCACCUAGUCUUCGAUGGAUAGGGGUUCUGAGAGGAAGGUCCCCCACAUUGGAACUGAGACACGGUCCAAACUCCUACGGGAGGCAGCAGUGAGGAAUAUUGGUCAAUGGGCGCAGGCCUGAACCAGCCAAGUAGCGUGAAGGAUGACUGCCCUAUGGGUUGUAAACUUCUUUUAUAAAGGAAUAAAGUCGGGUAUGCAUACCCGUUUGCAUGUACUUUAUGAAUAAGGAUCGGCUAACUCCGUGCCAGCAGCCGCGGUAAUACGGAGGAUCCGAGCGUUAUCCGGAUUUAUUGGGUUUAAAGGGAGCGUAGAUGGAUGUUUAAGUCAGUUGUGAAAGUUUGCGGCUCAACCGUAAAAUUGCAGUUGAUACUGGAUAUCUUGAGUGCAGUUGAGGCAGGCGGAAUUCGUGGUGUAGCGGUGAAAUGCUUAGAUAUCACGAAGAACUCCGAUUGCGAAGGCAGCCUGCUAAGCUGCAACUGACAUUGAGGCUCGAAAGUGUGGGUAUCAAACAGG
rnacentral:rRNA from 1 species